CCCAACCUGUGCUGUGGGCAAGGUACUGUUCACAGGCUGGGGACACAGUACUUGUCCUCAUUGAGAAGGUCCCCAAGGCCCAGCUACAUAAUUUCCAGGGCCUGGUGCAGAAUGACACUGUAGGGCCUCUUGUUCAAAAAUGUAAAAGAUUUUGAAGGUAGGGAUAGCAGGGGCCCUUCUCCCUGCACAGGUCCCAGCCCACGAAGCUGUGGGUGGGCACAUUCUAGAACAGCACUAAUGCCCUGUACAUGGGGAGUGGGUCAUUAGGCCUGAGCCACCCAUGGGCCCUGGGUGAACUCAGGUGCAAGAAGUGACUUUGGAAAACAUCCGUCCAUUUCCCACUUUAGCACUGGAAACACCAGUGCGGAGAGAGGGGCUCUCAGCCUGCUCAGGGCUCAGGCAGGGCAGCGACCAGCACCCGCAACCUGCAUCGGAGCCUGAGCGUUGCACUGCACCCCCUCCUCACCCUCCCUGCUUUGGAGAGGGUGCAGGCUGUGCAGGAGUGGAGGUCUGAAUGAACUCAGGUGUGGACGUGUGUUGGGAAGACACUGCAAGGCCUGGCCCUGCCAGCAAGGAUGGGAGCAUCGCCGUCCUCUGUUGAUCUGCCUGGAAGACCAAACUCACCACCCAAAGCGGAACUCCCCUGGGGACGUUUUGUUCCCAGCAUUCCAUGGCAGCUGCAGAAACGGAACACAGCUUGCUCCUCCAGGGACCCGGCCAAGUGCCUUGGGUGGACAGGCCCAGGGAUGCGGCAGGACAGCCAGGCCUGGGGGUCUGUGCAGGGAGGGGCAGCAGCUGAGCCCAAGAUGGUGCCAUUCAGGGCCCAAUAACAGGUAAAGUAUUAUUAGUGAGGGUGCCAGGAAUGAGAGCACUCAUUGUGGGUGGCGUCGCCAAGUCAGAAAAGGAUAAACCAGAUGAAUUCUCAGGUGCUCACUUGGUGUGGGAGGCCUGGGUUGAACUCACACACAUAGGUGGAUACAAAAACACAUGUGUGGGUAGGUGGCUCUGCUCGCUGAGAGGGCCACAAGCAGCGUCCCCCCAGCAGCCAUGAGCACAGUGCCCGCCCAGAUCUUGGCCUGUCAUGCUGUCCUCCAUCAGGCUCCUUGGAGGAAGCGUCUGGAAUCCUGUGUUGCACCAUGAAAUCAGGUGGCCUCAAAGAAGGGUUGGGACGUGUCACAGAUAUCCAGAAGCCACCCUGAAUUGGCAAAAUUGGGAUGCUGUGAGCAUCAACAUAAACAAUCGU
rnacentral:lncRNA from 1 species